rnacentral:misc_RNA from 1 species
CCAAUAGCGUAUAUUAAAGUUGUUGCAGUUAAAAAGCUCGUAGUUGAAUUUCGGGAUUGACGUGAUGGUCAUGCCUUAAGGGGUAUGAACUGUUGCUGUUGAUUUCUCACCUUCUGGAGAAACUUGAUGUCCUUUAUUGGGUGUCUUGCGGAUCCAGGACCUUUACCUUGAAAAAAUUAGAGUGUUUAAAGCAGGCAUUUUUGCUCGAAUACAUUAGCAUGGAAUAAUAGAAUAGGACGGCAUGGUUCUAUUUUGUUGGUUUCUAGGAUCACCGUAAUGAUUAAUAGGGAUAGUUGGGGGCAUUAGUAUUCAAUUGUCAGAGGUGAAAUUCUUGGAUUUAUUGAAGACUAACUACUGCGAAAGCAUUUGCCAAGGAUGUUUUCAUUAAUCAAGAACGAAAGUUAGGGGAUCGAAGACGAUCAGAUACCGUCGUAGUCUUAACCAUAAACUAUGCCGACUAGGGAUCGGACGAAGUUAAUUUUAUAAUGACGCGUUCGGCACCUUACG